GAAUGAUUGUCGUGACCGUAUGGACUGAUUGCUGCAAGGAAAAAACGUUCAAUAGAACAUGCUGAUAAGUGAGUCACUCCGUGGCAAGCUACAAUCUGGGAACUAAGAUGAAUCCAUUGGCACUAUUUCCACCUGGGUCUGUGUCCCCAAAGGGGAUUUCUACUCGCGUCUCAACUCAGCAAAUUGCAUGGUGCCCCAGUGGUAGAGACACAAUCAGAAGUGAAAACUACAGGAAAUCAGACAGCCAGAACUGGUUCUGAAGAGAUGCCUUAUGUGAGAAGUUGCAAUCUGGAUAGGAAUCCAGGUUUGGAGCUCAGGUCCACUUCUAGUGACAUCCAAGACUUCCAGCUCAAUUCCACUGCCCCAACAAGUUCAUAUGUUUCAGAUCAGCCUUUGAAUUACUGGUUGUUUCUCAAAGUCAGUCAGCACCUUUGAAUCCUUGGAAGCUGGCUCACCACUAGCUAACAUGUCUUAUGGCAUUUCAAGCUUGUGCACCAGGUCACUGGCUUGCAUAGAUCAGAAUAGUUCCAGUGUCUGAUCUGUCCGAAUAGUUAUUUUGAAAUACAGUAAUCCUCACAUUCUAGGGCUUGGGGGGUAUUGAUCCGGUCAUAUUUCCUCAGCCUCUGCAUGGAUUUUCUACUUGCUUAGCUCUAGUGAUGAUAGUAUUUUACCCGUGGGAUUUUCCCUGCCAUGUGCCGGAUGAGAUGAACUUCAGAAGCAGCAACAUACCGAAGGAUUCUAUAAAGGAAACAUGAGCGUGACCACAAGGGUCUGAUUCUGAUCUCACAGGGGUGUAAAUCUGGAGUAACUCUACUCAAUUCCAGUAGCUUUACACUGAUGUAAAGUCAGUGUCAAGGAAAGAGAAUCAGAUCCCCAAAACGUAGUAUUGAUUUGACUGUAGCUUAAAGUUUAUGCACAGUGCAGCAGAACUUAAAGGCAUUUAGUGUUGGUAGGUGGAAAAAACCUGGAUUUAGGCUAUGGAGCAACAAGAGAAAUAUUUCCAUCAUUUAAAAACAGGAACAAAACACGGACUAGCAGAAGACAGACAAAUGGACUUGUACCAUGGCUGUGUAAGCACUACUAAACUACAACACCAAGGAGCUAAAUCCUUACAUUCUCAUGCUGAGAGAU